AACGAACGCUGGCGGCAGGCUUAACACAUGCAAGUCGAACGGUUGCAGCAAUGCAGCAGUGGCAGACGGGUGAGUAACACGUGGGAACCUUCCUAGGGGUACGGAACAACUCAGGGAAACUUGAGCUAAUACCGUAUACGUCCGUGAGGAGAAAGAUUUAUCGCCCUUAGACGGGCCCGCGUCGGAUUAGGUAGUUGGUGGGGUAACGGCCUACCAAGCCUACGAUCCGUAGCUGAUCUUAGAGGAUGAUCAGCCACACUGGGACUGAGACACGGCCCAGACUCCUACGGGAGGCAGCAGUGGGGAAUCUUGGACAAUGGGCGCAAGCCUGAUCCAGCCAUGCCGCGUGAGUGAAGAAGGCCUUAGGGUUGUAAAGCUCUUUUACCAGGGACGAUAAUGACGGUACCUGGAGAACAAGCCCCGGCAAACUUCGUGCCAGCCGCCGCCGUAACAC
rnacentral:rRNA from 1 species